ensembl:lncRNA
AACUCUACAACCCACGAGGCCAUAACCCCCAGCAAUCAUUCUGGCAAUCCACACCCCCAAACUGCUGCAAUAGGCCUCAAGACACUCCCUCUCUCCUGGGCAUCAGGCUCCCUGGUUCAGAUCAUCCAUGACCCAUUUCUCUACACUCAAGGAGUUAUCUGGCCACGUUGGCUCCAGCUCUAAUGGAGUGAGUUGAGCAGUGAUGGACCCAGAGAAGAGUGGAGAAAACAGGUACGUACCCGGUGAGGUUGUAA